rnacentral:tRNA from 1 species
GAGUUUGAAAGGUUUUUCUGGUAGCUAACUGCCUUCACACGGCAGGGGUCACUGGUUCAAUCCCAGUCGCGCCCACCA